rnacentral:rRNA from 1 species
UACGUAGGGUGCGAGCGUUUGUCCGGAAUUAUUGGGCGUAAAGGGCUCGUAGGCGGUUUGUCGCGUCGGGAGUGAAAACCUACAGCUUAACUGUGGGCUUGCUUUCGAUACGGGCAGACUAGAGGUAUGCAGGGGAGAACGGAAUUCCUGGUGUAGCGGUGAAAUGCGCAGAUAUCAGGAAGAACACCCGUGGCGAAGGCGGCUCUCUGGGACGGUACUGACGCUGAGACGCGAAAGCGUGGGGAGCAAACAGG